UUUGACUGCCAUGAGCUGCUUCGACUAUUCCCUACCAGCAUGUCCAGCGAUUUAGCUGAAAACAUUGGAAGAGCCGUUUUGUCGGCCAUCCAACGAUUCAGCGGUAAUGCACCCUCGACCUCACAAACGCCGCAGCACUUGGAAUCCAGCAAUGCACCUGGACCAAGUAGACCUGCCGUCUCCACUGGGAUACCAUACUGCUCGGUUCCUCUUCCAUCAGUUCCUCAAGCUCAUGCUACGCGCUCACAUUUUGUGAGAAAAAACAAGACCUGCA